CUCCCAGAGGCAAUGGAGAGGUAACCCACAGGAGAAAGAAGGCUCCUGGAAUAUGCUGCGUGGCUGCCAAACAUCAACAUGUGCGACCAUAAAACGCAGCCCCGGGAAGCGGAAUGCGAUAAUCUCGGACCUGAAAUUGUGAGCCAUGGGAGGUGAGAGAUGGAAGAGGGAGAGCUCUUUCCAGGGUGAAAAGAAGCACCAUUCAUCAGUUCCAAGGCCAGCAGGGACCCCGUGAUCAUCCAGUCUAAUCUCCCGCGUAACACUGGCCAGAGAACUUCCUCAGAACAAUCCCUGUUUGAAUCCGUGCCGAUCUUUCCCAAAACUGUCCAAUCUUGAUUUAAAAAUGGCUAGUGAUGGAGAAUCUGCCACAGCCCUUGGGCCUUUGCCAUGAUCACCUCUCUACCAUCUCACUAACCUCUGUCUGGUGCUGAUCUCUCCAUCUCCUUCACUACCCCAUCCGGCCUGCCACCACCCCCACCGUCGUCAUCUUUGCAGCCCUAUGCCGACACAUCACGAAGCAACCUCUAAAACACAGGUGCAGGCUAGAACAUGAAUUGCAACAGUGCACUUGUCUGUUUCCAGGCACCAGGUGUUCUAGUUAAUCCAUGUGCCACAGAA